GACAGAGGUGCCAAGCGUUAGGCGGAAUCACUGGGCUUAAAGCGUGUGUAGGCGGACUUGUAAGUACCUUGUGAAAUCCCACGGCUCAACCGUGGAACUGCUCGGUAUACUGCUUGGUCUUGAGCCACUUAGGGGCUGUCGGAACAAACGGUGGAGCGGUGAAAUGCGUAGAUAUCGUUUGGAACGCCAAUGGUGAAAACAGACAGCUGGGAGUGUGCUG
rnacentral:rRNA from 1 species